UACGGGGGGAGCAAGCGUUGUUCGGAUUUACUGGGCGUAAAGGGCGCGUAGGCGGCCAGCACAAGUCAGUUGUGAAUCUCCGGGCUUAACUCGGAAAGGUCAACUGAUACUGGUGCGGCUAGAGUGCAGAAGGGGCAACUGGAAUUCUCGGUGUAGCGGUGAAAUGCGUAGAUAUCGGGAGGAACACCUGUGGCGAAAGCGGCGCACUGGACCACAACUGACGCUGAGGCGCGAAAGCUAGGGGAGCAAACAGG
rnacentral:rRNA from 1 species